UCCAAAGAGAAGCCAUGAAGUGCAUCUUUUAAAUUAAAAGCCUACCUAUUCUCCCAGAGGGCAUGCAUUCUAUGGAGACAGAGGUGAAUGUGUGCCAUCAGAUGACCAAAAUCAAGCGACAUUUUAAAAAGAAAACAGACUCUUCUGGGAAAAAUGGUGACUCCACAAAGUAAGAAGCCACCAAGACUUGUAGGACAUUCCUUCAUCUUCUCCUGGAUGGGGCAACCCAGCCAUGGAUAUAUGCCUCCAAUCAGCAUAAAUGCCCAUUGCUUGAUAAAGUCAACACAUGUGUAAGAUGGUAUGUACAUCUUCUGGGCUCCUGGCCUUAGACUCUUGCCCUUGUGUUUACCAACUCGAUUGUAAAUCCUUUGAGGGCAGAAACCAUAUUUUAGAUUUCUUCAUAUCCUUUCCCUUCCUCCAUGUCACUAACACUUCAUGUACUCAACCAAGGUCAACACCUUUGAGAGGAGUGACAGGAGACACUCCCACAGUGCUGAACCAUGUCCUGCCCUUGCUUAACAUGGUGGGACUCUGCCUCCCAAUCCAAAGUCCCCCAAAACUGCCACCAAUCCUGUCCUUUUCCCCAAAUGAAGCUAGAAGUAAGAAUGGAAAGAGAUCUAAACACCAUCCAGCCCAAUCUUCUCAUUUCACAAGCAUGGAAACCGAGGCCACAGAAGAGAAUUGACUUAAAAUCAAGAUCAUGCAUCUCAUUAGAGGAAGCUCUAACUCUAGAAUCAGAUAAUAUGACUCUAGUUCAAUAUCCGUAAGACUCUAUUGCACAGUUUUUUUUGGCAUCAAGUAUCUAAAGAUAGUUCAGUCCGAAGAACCUGGAACCUAGAGAAGCCAAGGGUUAGAGCAUAGGUGGCUGAGAUCUCUUACUGCCCCUCCAUCUGCUCUAGGAAAUUCUGUUUCUUGAAGGGAACUCAGAGAAAAGGACCACAAGCAAAUUGCUGCUGCUACAAAAUGAUACCAUAAUAAGAAUGGAAAUAAUCCUGGAUUCUCUGCUCAUUUCGACAAGUAAAAUAAGGCACAUAUUUUUCAAUGGAUAAUGUUCUUUGGUCUUUGUAAAAAUUGUUUCCGUUUUGACACUUUUUGUAACCUAUUUCUUUGAAACCUGAGUUCACUCAGUUUGGGGAAACAUAGGGUACGGAAGAAGAAGGGGAAAAGGAAUAUGGAAUCACAAGGAUUUAGAGUCAAAGUAAUUUUAACUUUCGUAGAAAGACCGCAGGGAUCAGCUAACACAACAAGCCCAUUUUACAGAGGAGUCAACUAAGGCUCAAAGAAUCCAUGAGACUCGCCCAGAGAAGCAGCUCAUUAGUGGCAGAGUUGAUCUAGAAUUCUGGGCUCCUGCUGCUGCAACCCAGUCCUCUUUGCAGCAUCCCAAACUCCCUCUCUCAUAAUAAUCCAGGAUAAUAGUCAUUUCCCAUUUUUAAUAAGAAGGAAAUGAGCACAGAGAGAACCAGGCACAGCAUGAUGGAAGAAACCUGGAACUAAAGCCUCACUACUUCUCUUUCCUGACUGCCCCGCCACCUCAGAUCCCAAAUCCACAGCUUACAGGAAGUUUUUACCAAUGUUAUUUCUAAGAGAGCACAGAAUGUACGGUCCAAGCCAGUGAUAAGAAUUCUCCCUGUAGCCUGGGGUUAUUGUAAUUAAAGUACAUAACUUAUCUCUUUCUACUUGGCACUUUGUUAAUUAGGAAAAGAGAACAUUAAAAAGGAGACAUUUAUUAGAACCAGAAUAAUCAAACCACUAGUUCAGGGGUUAUUCCACUGUAAAAAAAAAAGUUAAUAAACAAAACACAAAUUUUUGUUAAUAGAU
rnacentral:lncRNA from 1 species